CUUGGCUGCCGUCCUGAGACCAACACCAAGCCACAGCCAUCACCGCUCCUCCUCCAGGCUUCCCUUCCUCCUCUGGGGCAGCAGCCCAUCUUCCCAGCUGCCCGAAGGAGAAAGGCAUAUCCCCAGUGUCCCUCCACAUCCUGACCCUGACCCUGUCCAGCAGCUGGUCCACAGCUGCAGUAAACCCAGAGUCCAGCAGAACCUUUGCUCAGUAGGCACACAAAUCAUUCUUGAGCAGGUGAGCCACUAAUAAUGUGUCACUGACACCAAGGAACAGAGGGUUGAGUGACUUGCUUCAGGCCACACAGCUAGUGAGGUACUGAGCUGGGACCUCGGAGAAGGUGCCUCCUCCAUGCUAGGCAGCCCUCUCCUGGGCCAGUCCUGCUCCCCACUCCCAACAGCCUUGGUGCUUUCAGAAAAACUCAAGAGGCGCCAGGAGAAUCCCACAGUCCCCCUUCUCAGCCUAAUUUGCAGGCAAGGAAAUGUCUGUGGAGCUCUCCACUCAUCAGGAUCCAUCCCCUGCCCAGGGGACAGGCAGAGACCUGCCCGAUGCCCUGGUGGUGGCCGCAGGAAUGCUGAGCAGAUGGUGCUUGGCACCCAGAAGUGGGGUGAGGAGAGCAGAACGACCCGAUAAAAUUAUUUAUGCAAAUAUUUAACCACAGGCACUGCAGCAAUGCAAAAGUAACAUCGAGGGGCCCAUGAAAUGUUAGCUGCCUGCCGCCCCAAGUGCCUGUGUGCAGAGCCAGCAGCAAGCCAGAGAGGGCGGGAGGGUUUGGGGAGGAGACGGUGCCUUGGAGGGAGCAGCCUGGAGGGAGGGACAGCCCCUCUGUCUCUGCGCAGGCCCAGCUGCUCAGGCAGAGUCUCCCUUCUCCUCCCUCCUUUAAUAAACACCCAUGAAGGGCUCUCUCACCCAUGGUGGGGCAUUUCCAUGGUGAGCAAAACUGGGAGACACAAGUGAGCGGUGCAAGAGCACGAGAGUGAAGCUGGAUGCCCGUGGGGGGCUACCCUGCGCUCCCUGCUCCUCCCAGCCUCUCUGGCAGAUCUGCACAUGGCAGAUGGGAACUGUGGGGCACACAGCUACGUGGAGGACCCUCCAGAACCCUCUGCCCUCUGAAUGGUUGGGACAGUGAGUCCAGGAGGGCCAGGGGGUGGCCUGGGAGAGGUGGUGCUGGUGCUCUGGGCUGCAGUGGGCACUAUGAUCACGCCAGUUUACAGACAUAAACGCUCGGCUUGGGGAGGGCAGGCGCCUGACCCGAGACCUCCUGGUGAGUGGUUGCUGUGUAGAGACAAUGAGGACCGCACUGAAAGCAGUGGCAACAAAGCUUCCCCAAUGUCAUACAUGAUGCGUUGAUAUACUACACAUGUAUACAUACAACAUGCAUUCUACAUACAGCAUAGCGGCAUGCCGCAAGCAUACGCAGUGCUUUUCAUAAACAAAACCACUGAAGUCUCACAAUGGCCCCUGAAGGGGGUCAGUCAUAUGAUCCUCACCCCAUUUCACAGAUGACAAACUGAGGCACAGAAGGGCUGAGGGUGGCAAUGGGACGGAAGCCCCA
rnacentral:lncRNA from 10 species